AUACGGAGGGUGCAAGCGUUAUGCGGAAUCACUGGGCGUAAAGGACGCGGAGGCGGGUUGGCAAGUCAGAUGUGAAAUCCUACAGCUUAACUGUAGAACUGCAUUUGAAACUGCUAACCUAGAGUAUGGGAGGGGGAGAUGGAAUUAGUGGUGUAGGGGUAAAAUCCGUAGAUAUCACUAGGAAUACCGAAAGCGAAGGCGAUCUCCUGGAACAUAACUGACGCUAAGGCGUGAAAGCGUGGGGAGCAAACAGGAUUAGAAACCCCAGUAGUCC
rnacentral:rRNA from 1 species